rnacentral:rRNA from 1 species
GCUCCAAUAGCGUAUAUUAUUGAUGUUGCAGUUGAAACGUUCGUAGUCGAACCUUUUCUGCUUAAGUACUGUGUCAUCGACGAUGUUGCAUUACUCUCAGCAGAGAUUGUGCAAAGGUAUGUGUUUCGCAUGUAUCGUUUGCAUAUUACUUUGAGUGAAUCGGCGUGUUCCACGCAGCGUCCGCCUUGAACGAUUUACCA